rnacentral:lncRNA from 1 species
GUUCAACCCCUAAGCCUCAUUUAAAGGCUGCCUGCCACAUGGGAAGCAUUUUUUCAUGGUUUUUAUGUUUUUUGGUUUUCAGUAUUCCACAUUGUAACAUCAUGUAGUGUGCUGGGAGUCCUGUAUGCUUCCCUGUCACUGGUGUAGAUUGACCUAGUGAACUCCGUGACAUGUCUCUAUCUGGAGAUUCUUCCUUUUGGAGUAUUUGUUUGGCCCUGUUCCUUGGGAUGGAAAUACACACACAAAUGCCUAUGUGUUUUUGUUCCUCAGGAUUCCAGUCUUUGAGAUUUGAUCAAAUAGCAGGUGUAAUGGUUAUUUCAUUCUCCUGCAUAUCUUCAAGCAUAUAUGUCUGUACGUUCUAUGAGUCUCUCUGCUUCAGAGGAUCUCUUCUGUAGUUUGGUGCAUCUAAGUGGAGAGAACUCACCAGCAAAAGGGUAACAUCUGUAAAGGAUGCAGCAUCAUCUCAUCUGAAGCAUGAUGUACCAUAAAUCAUGUGGAGCAUUUCUGUCAAAAUGUUCAAGUAAACACUGGGAAUGAGACUGUACCUGGGCUCAGAAAUCUCCCCAUGUGGAGAGAAAAAAAAAGAAAGGUACUACCAGAGCACUGACUGCAGGAUGUGGCCUUUUAACUGUUAGCAAGCUUCCUUUUGGGCAGCAAGCACCAUUACUCUGUAUGUCACUGGCAGAUUCAUGAAAAGAUAAAAGAAGAAAAAAACCUCUACCUACUGCUGCAUAGCCUGGAAAUAAUUGUGGAUACAUUGUCUUCUAUCAUUCUCACAUAACAUAAUGUUUCUUAAAGAUGAUGUGCGAAUGGUGUCUGUUACAUCUACGAAAAGACAGUGGUUUUCUGAUUUUUUAUGAUAACUAUGCUAAUGGAUUAUAUUAAUUUAAUUAAGCAAUCUCAUCAAUUAUGAAAUACUGCUAUCCACUAGAAGGUCUUAAAAGUAUUUUGUAGAGUAGAAAUGAACAAACAAGACUACAUACAAACUGUGCUCCAAAGAGCAUUUGCAUCUAUGAGAGCACAGUCUGCUGACUUCAGCAUUCAAUAGUAUCAGCAGCAGCCCUUUAACAACAAUCUUUAUCCCUUGACUCUGUGUAUCAGGCAAGAGAUCAGAUAGUCCCAUUGUUUUUAUAGUAUACAAAUGUAUACAUAGCCAGGACAUCAUCCUCAUAUGGAUAUCCGGGUUCUGCUAAUGUUAGAAUUGACCUAUCUAGUUGUUUUUAUUUUUUCUAACUGGAGGAUUAGUACCUGAACUGUACUGAACAUCUGCAAGAAGCCUCUGAAUACCAUAUUAUGGUAAAAGUUCUCAAAAAAAAAGAGUACUGAGUCUAGGAAAAGCACAAUUACAAUAAUCUGGUUGGUUUUCAUAUAAAGUAUUUUAAACAUAAACUAAUGCAACGAAUGUAACUGAAUUUUCUGGUUGUUUCCCCCUCCCUACCCCUCCACUUACAGGGCAGAGCAUUUUGAAGGAUUCUGUUUAAAACACUGACAAUAGCCAAAUAUUUGCAUGGGAUAUUUUUUCAUAUUGAUAUUAAUAAAAAACAAAUUUCUCUGGUUGUAAGAGAAUUG